rnacentral:tRNA from 1 species
GCCGAAGUGGUGGAACUGGCAGACACGUACGUUUGAGGGGCGUAUGGAGCAAUCCGUGGGGGUUCGAGUCCCCCCUUCGGCACCA